UACGGAGGGAGCUAGCGUUGUUCGGAAUUACUGGGCGUAAAGCGCGCGUAGGCGGCUUUGUAAGUUAGAGGUGAAAGCCCGGACGCUCAACUCCGGAACUGCCUUUAAAACUGCAUCGCUUGAAUCCAGGAGAGGUGAGUGGAAUUCCGAGUGUAGAGGUGAAAUUCGUAGAUAUUCGGAAGAACACCAGUGGCGAAGGCGGCUCACUGGACUGGUAUUGACGCUGAGGAGCGAAAGCCAGGGGAGCCAAAGCGGG
rnacentral:rRNA from 1 species